UGUUGGUGAUGAUAAACUUGAAGGCUUGUUUCUCAAUAAAUUCGCAGUGGCCGCCUAAGAGCUUUCGCCUUAGCCAAGCUUGAGAGCUGAUGCUGCAUUAUCCUUCAUUGGAUGUCUGAAACA